GAGUUUGAUCAUGGCUCAGAUUGAACGCUGGCGGCAUGCCUUACACAUGCAAGUCGAACGGCAGCACGGGAGCUUGCUCCUGGUGGCGAGUGGCGAACGGGUGAGUAAUGCAUCGGAACGUAUCCUGGAGUGGGGGAUAACGUAGCGAAAGUUACGCUAAUACCGCAUAUUCUGUGAGCAGGAAAGCGGGGGACCUUCGGGCCUCGCGCUCUUGGAGCGGCCGAUGUCGGAUUAGCUAGUUGGUGAGGUAAAGGCUCACCAAGGCGACGAUCCGUAGCAGGUCUGAGAGGAUGAUCUGCCACACUGGAACUGAGACACGGUCCAGACUCCUACGGGAGGCAGCAGUGGGGAAUUUUGGACAAUUGGGGCAACCCUGAUCCAGCCAUGCCGCGUGAGUGAAG
rnacentral:rRNA from 1 species